rnacentral:lncRNA from 1 species
UUUAUCAUUUUGUAUUUAAAAUUUAAUUUUUGAAACUAAAAUAUCAUAUUUUAUUAAAUAGUUUGCUUUUGUCUUCCACUUUUACUUAUGAUAUCAAAGAUUUAUAUUGAUUGAUUCAAAAUAAACUAUACAUUUCUAAAUUCUAUAACUUUUUGUAAUGUCAAUUUUUUCUAAUGUCAGGUCCAAUUUAAAAUAGAUUUUGGUUUCUCCAAAAGAUGCAAAUUUACUCUUUUGCAUUAUUUUCUCUCUUCCUUUUACGCUGCAAAAUUCCAUCUCUCUUCCUCUUCUGCUUUCUUCUCUCUUUUGUUGCCUUUCUUUUCAUGUGUUUUUUCUUCUCUCUUCAACCUCUCUUUUCCUCUUCUUCUUUCUCCUCUCUUCCUUUUCUUCAAUAAAGACAACCGGGUCGUGGGACGAUUUACAGAAAUCUACAAAUCGAAGUUUUUUAAGGUUUGUGCUUUUUAUCUUUCUUUACUUAGAUCUACAAAACUCUAUUUAGAGAUGACACAAUGGCUAGAGAUUUAAGGGUUUGUUUUUUUCUUAUUCUGAUUUUAGAAUUUCAGUGUGAGAAAAAUGAAAUAAAAAACAAGUUAGGUUUUCUGUUACAUCUUCUUCUUUCUCACUACUGUGACAUGUUUGUAUCGUGUAUUGUGUUUUGUUAUAUUUGUUACACAGUCAUGUUUUCUAUUAUUGACUGUGAAUAAAAUGGUUGGUACUUUAAUAGUUUUUUAUUUCAGUUAUUUGUGGUUUACACAUUUGUCUUUGAAUCUUUUCAAUCAGUUGGUUUUGAUUAUCCACCUGUGGGGUGAUUUGUGUGUUUAUUAUGUCCCUGUGGUAGUUUUAUUUUGACCUAAGAUUGUUGGUGUUGCAAAAAUGGAAAAGAAUAAUCAAUAUUGGCAUGUCUAUUACUGUUACGACAACUAUUCAUGUUAUGGAAAAGAUAUGGACUUCCUACAGCUCAUCAUGAAGUAUGCAUUCAUAUACUUAUUUGGUUGUUGAGUAAUUCUUUAACUACCUACCCAUUAUUAUUUAAUGCCACCAAUCAACCUAAAUUAUCCCUUAAACAUUAUUUAUUCAUGCCUACUAAAAGGACAUAACAGUAAAAUACAUAUUACCUAAUCUUAGAAUUGUUGAGAACAAUUCAUGGCAUUUUUCAAUUGGUCCGAAUUUUAUUAUGUCCUUUAUAUCAAUUUUCCCUCUCUUUUCACCCCAUUUAAUUUUUUUUUCUUUAUCAAAAAAGUUUCUCUUUUUCCCUCACUCUCUCUUUUCUCGUCUCCCUGUUUCUCUUUCUUCUUCCUCAUUCAUUUUCUUCUCCUUUCAUCACUUUCCAUUUCUCUUUCUCCCCUUUCAACCAAGUUCUUCUUCCUUUUACAAAGCAACCAUCUCCUUCUUUUCUUUUGUGUUCAUAUUUCAACACGAAAAAUAAAGUAAUGGGCAUGGAAACAAGAUGAAAAAGGUGUACUUUGAUAAUAAAUUUUUGAUUUUUUUUAUCCAACAAUGCCUUUCUUUUUCCCUUAAAUUGAUUAGCUGAUUUGGUAUUGUUUCUGGUUUUGAUUCAAAGUAUAGAACUUUAUGUUAUUGUUAAGUGUAAAAUCUGAUUUUACCUUAUAUGUAUGAAAGUUGAAUACUUUGGAACUUUUUUAUGGUUGUUGGUUUUUGUAGGUGGUAAAGAUGUCUAGAGACCGAAGGCGUCGUGUUUAUUGAUUUUGUUCUUGAUGAUGUUUGGAAAGAAGUUGAAAACAGUAAUUGCUUGCAGGAUAUGGUUUUCAAACUUUUGCUAAUAAUUUUAGAGUUUUGUUGGUUUUUGAAAUUGAUGGGUAUGCUAGUGCCCUUUUGAAAUUUUGAAAUGUGUUUUAAAAAUAAAGUGAAAUUAUACUUGAAAUUGUGUGUAAUUUUGAAGUUGGAUCUAGCCUUUAAUGUCAUGUUGUUUAUUGGAAAUUGAUUUAUUCGUGUCCUUUUGAUGUGUUUUCAUCAACAACAAUUUGAUGUAACCAUUUCACUUGCUCUAACUGAUCGCGACUUUAU